CAACCUCAACUCAUAUGGGACUACCCCCUGAAUUUAAGCAUAUUAAUUAGGGGAGGAAAAGAAACUAACAAGGAUUUUCUUAGUAGCGGCGAGCGAAAAGAAAUCAGUUCAGCACUAAGUCACUUUGUCUAUAUGGCAAAUGUGAGAUGCAGUGUACGGAACAUCAACAUUCUAGUAUGAGAAGUUAACGAUUUAAGUCCUUCUUAAAUGAGGCCAUUUACCCAUAGAGGGUGCCAGGCCCGUAUAACGUUAAUGAUUACUAGAUGGUGUUUCCAAAGAGUCGUGUUGCUUGAUAGUGCAGCACUAAGUGGGUGGUAAACUCCAUCUAAAACUAAAUAUAACCAUGAG
rnacentral:ncRNA from 1 species